GUGGGGAAUAUUGGACAAUGGGCGAAAGCCUGAUCCAGCCAUGCCGCGUGUGUGAAGAAGGUCUUCGGAUUGUAAAGCACUUUAAGUUGGGAGGAAGGGCAGUAAGUUAAUACCUUGCUGUUUUGACGUUACCGACAGAAUAAGCACCGGCUAACUUCGUGCCAGCAGCCGCGGUAAUACGAAGGGUGCAAGCGUUAAUCGGAAUUACUGGGCGUAAAGCGCGCGUAGGUGGUGUUGUAAGUUGGAGGUGAAAUCCCCGGGCUCAACCUGGGAACUGCCUCCAAAACUGCAUGACUAGAGUACGGUAGAGGGUAGUGGAAUUUCCUGUGUAGCGGUGAAAUGCGUAGAUAUAGGAAGUAACACCAGUGGCGAAGGCGACUACCUGGACUGAUACUGACACUGAGGUGCGAAAGUGUGGGGAGCAAACAGGAUUAGAUACCCGAGUAGUCC
rnacentral:rRNA from 1 species